GGAGCUCAGUGGUAAAGCAUCUGCUUCAAAGGCAGAAGAUCCCAGGUUCAAUUCCUGGCAACUCUA
rnacentral:tRNA from 1 species